GUCUUAUUUUGAAAGAGCUUGUAGAAAACAUCCGGUCCCUCCUAGGCUAACAGCUGCUAUCUUGCUGCGGUCUGUGGGUGUUGAAAUGUCAGCUGAUUGUUAGCCCGUCUAGCUAGCUUAGCUUAGUUGCGUGUUUGUUUUUGUCAUCAAAUAGACUGCUUCCACCUCAGCCCUAAGGUUUAACGCACAGUUAGCCUUUUCAUUGACUUAUAGUCCACUCCAAUCGUCGUCUGUUCGCUUUCGCGGGGCUAAACUAGCAUUAGUGCUGCUGUAUUUUUUCCCCUACAGCAGCAAGAAGGAAAAAGGGAGUGAAGUUGCUGCCCGAGUCUCUCUGCAUUGCAGCCCCCCCGGCGGUGCUGAUGGAAUUCAAACAUACAACAAUGGCGUCUCCUGGUUCAAACAGCUCAUCGACAGGCAGCAGUAACAUGGGAUCUGUGUCACACCACUACCAGCAGCCGCAGCAGUCUCAGCCCCAGCACACUAGCACCAUGAGCGGCAUGCAGGAGUCCAACACCUGCUGGAGAUGUCAGAGUGAAACAGGGUUUCAGAUAAACCUGUCUGGAGCUCACCCAAGUAAGCCAAACCUCUUUUGCUUCAGCACCAACAGCACUCAUCUCUUUCUUUCCACCUGACACUUUGGUAUGGAGGGAGUUGGUCCUGCUGUUCUGCACUAAUCCAGGCCUAAACACCCCAUUGGUCUGAGUGGGCUUGUGCCAGAAGCAGAUGUGCUCCAAAUAUUUUAAUUGACUUUUGGCAAAUGGUUGCAAGUCUGCAUAGAAACAGCAGAUCUGUUCUGAAUGGCAUAAGACUAACAUUCAAACCUUUCUCUGAUAAUUUGACCUAACAGAUCUGUAGCCCUCGGUGUGAUGGGGCCGUGCACUUUAAAAGCUCUAACUCUGUGGUUUUCAGUGUGCAACUAACUAACUAAGCAGAAGAAGUGUUUGUUAGGUUUGUGUUAUUUGGGGUUUGGGUAAACCUCAGCUUUCCACUGGUGUGCUGUGUAAACAAACUGAAGUUGUCAUUUUUAGCCCAGCUUGGUUUAUUCCCGCACACAUUCCUGUGGUGUUUUUGGGUGGUGCAAACAUUUGGUACAAGGUGAAAAUCAAAGCAGCUUUUCUUGCAUGUUUUCAUCCCAUUGUGUUUUAUUUUUCCACGUUCAGAUUAAGUCCAGCACGCUUUGUUGGAUUGUUGUUAUAAUAUCAAAGAGUCGGG